rnacentral:rRNA from 1 species
UACGUAGGUGGCAAGCGUUGUCCGGAUUUACUGGGCGUAAAGAGCGCGCAGGCGGUCGUUUAAGUCGAAUGUGAAAGCCCCCGGCUCAACUGGGGAGGGUCAUUCGAUACUGAUCGACUUGAAGGCAGGAGAGGGAAGUGGAAUUCCGGGUGUAGUGGUGAAAUGCGUAGAUAUCCGGAGGAACACCAGUGGCGAAGGCGACUUCCUGGCCUGUUCUUGACGCUGAGGCGGCGAAAGCUGGGGGAGCAAACGGGG